GGGAAUCACGGAUCUCUGAUCCGGCCGCGUGCCACCGAACCUCUCCUUCCCCCAGGACUACAAAUCCGAGCCCCGCAAACCAAUUCGCCGUGAGCUGGCCCCCACCUAGGGCCCUUCCUGUGAACCCCAUGCCGACUCGUCGUCGUAUACUCGUAUGGGUGUUGCUCAGGAGCCACCAUCGUGGUUGUGUGCUUUCACCAUCGUCGGGGACCCUCUGUCGGGUCAGGGAGACUCGCCUAUCCUGGCUGAUGCAUCCGUUGCGUCGUCGGGCGGUUAGGGUCACUAGCUCUGACUGAAUUGCUCACUGGUUCUUGGACAUCACCGUCGGGCCGCACUCCGCCAUGGGCGUUAUUCUCCACGCUACAAUCCCUGGUAUGGACCCUCCCCGUGGAUUCGCUUUGACCACAACGUCGUGUAUAAGCAGUUGUCGUGGAGAAUCGGGCGCCAUGCCGCUGUGGACACCUUCUUCAGUGGGUAUCGCCGUCGCGGCUUGUGGGAGCUACGUGGGCCCUGGCCGUCGUGUGGAUGGAAGG
rnacentral:lncRNA from 7 species